AGUGAACGCUGGCGGUAGGCCUAACACAUGCAAGUCGAACGGCAGCACAGUAAGAGCUUGCUCCUACGGGUGGCGAGUGGCGGACGGGUGCGGAAUACAUCGGAAUCUACUUUUUCGUGGGGGAUAACGUAGGGAAACUUACGCUAAUACCGCAUACGACCAACGGGUGAAAGCAGGGGAACUUCGGACCUCGCGCGAUUGAAUGAGCCGAUGUCGGAUUAGCUAGUUGGCGGGGUAAAGGCCCACCAAGGCGACGAUCCGUAGCUGGUCUGAGAGGAUGAUCGGCAAACCUGGACUUGAGACACGGCCCAGCUUCUUACGGGGGGCAGCAGUGGGGAAUAUUGGACAAUGGGCGAAAGCCUGAUCCAGCCAGACCGCGUGGGUGAAGAAGGCCUUCGGGUGGUAAAGCCCUUUUGUAGGGAAAGAAAAGCGGCAGGUUAAUACCCCGCUGUUCUGACGGUACCCAAAGAAUAAGCACCGGCUAACUUCGU
rnacentral:rRNA from 1 species